rnacentral:lncRNA from 1 species
GAUCGAAGAGGCGAAUGGUCCUAUUCCAAAACCCGUUAAAAGGCUUAUUCGGGAAUUUGAGGACAUCAUGCCGGAAGAAUUACCAAAGAAAUUACCACCAAGAAGGACGAUUGAUCAUGAGAUCGAACUUAUUCCAGGCGCUAAAGCUCCCGCCAGGGCACCAUACCGUAUGUCUCAGCCUGAGCUUGAAGAGCUUAGGAAGCAGUUGGGGGAAAUGUUGGAGAGUGGAAUCAUUGUGCCUGCAAAGUCGCCAUACGGAGCUCCUGUAUUGUUUCAGAAAAAGACUGAUGGUUCUCUUAGAAUGUGCUGUGACUAUCGAGCCCUGAACAAGAUUACUGUAAAGAAUAGC